UCCUUCCUUUAGGUCAAUUCAAUCCAGAUGCGGCAGCAGCUCAAAUUACAACGAAGGGAUCGAUGCCGCCGGAGAAAUUAUUGGACAUCCCGGCUGGGUGGCACCGAUUGUCGUUGUCCGGCUCGAAAUGGUCCUCGUUGGCCACCAGGGAGCGGAGGCGCUGGUUGUCGCAUCAACUACGGCAAGUGCCCUGAGCAGCACGACAGGGUAAAGACAACCCGGUUCAUCUGUUGGAUGUGCAUCUCAUUUGAUGGCGGUGGGGACCGGUUCCGAGAAGAUGAGAUGGUGGAAGAAUGAAGUCACCGUCUGCCGGAAGCUAAAAUAACUCCAUAUCAUUCGCAAAUAGAUAGUUCGGGCCAAAUGUGCUUACUGGUUCCGCACUGGAAGCUUCCGGAGGGCCUUCGAACAACAUUUACCCGAGUGGGAAAUUUUCCGUCACUGGAGUCUGACCGAACAAUUGAUUUUUCGUAUCAUCCAUUUUACAUACUAGUGGCUUCCUGCACUGACGGUUUGUUUUGACUUCUUUUUACAUACUUUUGUGUACGAUUUUUCAAGGGUGUAGUAGUAGGCCCGUGCCGAACAAAAAUUUGAUAUGUGAUGAUAAUGCUUCUAAUUAAAUUCUACCCGCUCAUUUUAGGCAUCUUUCAUUUCAUCUGAGGUUCUAUCCAUCUGGUUCUAUCCAUCUGGUCUUGGGUCUCAUAUGUCAUCACAAUUUACGUCAGAUAGGAGUAUUAUCCUCCUCCCAUCUGACGUAAUGCUUCAGGGCAGCUACCAUAUGGGAACAAAGUCAGAUGUUCUAGGUGGAGUUUGGGGCGUAAGCGUACACGGAUGAGUAUACGCAAGUCAACCUAUUGGACACAUGAUUCCAGAUUUCAGCUCAAGUUAAGUCAUGGUUGUAUAUUAGUGAAUAUCACUACACCCAUAGAAGAGGUUGCAAAAAUCCAAUGCCUAUUUUGCAUAUCUCUGUGCCGAUAAUGCGCUGAAAUGUGCACUGUGCCGAAAACGUAAUGUUUGAAAAAACGUAACUGGCAUAAGGACUCGGCUCCCAACCAAAAUGAUGCAUGACCACUACAUUCAAGCGAAACAAGAAAAACAUUUUAUGGGAUUUCCUUCCUAUUGAAUAUUUCAUCCCAGAAACGAGAAAAUAAAAAUUAAAACCACAGUGCCGUAGGGAGAAUCGAACUCAAAUCACCAACUGUAUCGCAUUGCCAGUCCGACAUCUGAACCAGUGUACUAUUUGAGCUUCAUGCAGGACGAGGGAUAUUUUUCAUAGGCUUUCUGCCACUGUUCAAUCACAAAAAAGAACGCUCAACGGUGGCUUCCCGGCGUUUGACCUCCUUUCAAGUCAUUCUUUUGUCUUGUAAUGGAAACGGGAAAGGGAACGGAAGUGAAGGAACGGGAAACCCAUUGAAUGAGAACUGUGCUUUGCGUACUGCCUGCUAUUACAUACACACGCUACAUAUACACAGCUGCCAAAGCCGGGCAGCUUGGCCGGUGGUUGUUUGCCGGUGGAAGAAAUAUUUUUGUUGUUGCUUUUGCUACACACGCACAGUGCUCGGUUCGCUGGCUGCCUGGUGUUGGCUGGUAUUUAUUUCUAUCCUUCUUCGUCUUGUGAUGCGAUAGGGAGCGACGUGAAUUCGUUUUUAUUUUGUUUCUUUCAGACAUACGCAAUUCGGUUAACUUGGGAGGUUAAUGCCGGUGGGAGCAAAUCGAAUCAGCACCGGUCGCGUUAUCUUCUUGUACCAAUGAUGCCUUGUACCAAUGAUGCCGCCAUUGGCACAGAGGCUGAAUUGUGGGUGUAACUUCUGAUCAUUGUGUACAGAGAUGCCAAUAUGCCUGAUUUUUCAGGCGUUGCCUGAUUUUUUGAGGCUAUGCCUGACAACCUGAUAAGCCAUUGAAUUUCCCUGAUUUUUGAAAAAUGCCUGAUUUUGCCUGAUUUUUGCGAAUGUCAUGAAAAAUGAGUAGUAAGAAACUGGAGUAGGUACCAUAGCUGAAGUGAAAAGUGAAAAUGUGGCUGAAUCAAAGCAAUCGAAAAAUUCCCGUUCAUUCUCAUAUAAAAAAGGGAUUUAAAUGGAAUGUUUCGAUUGCUUGAUGCAGAGUAGAAUUAUUCAACCAAGUACUCUCACAACAUAUAUUAGUGUGAAAAUGUAGAGCGAUGACCAAAAAAAAGAUCAUCACUUUGAGCGAAAUUUCCGUUACUUUACCGAGGUUUAACGUAGCCUGAUUUUGCCUGAUUUUUAUUUCGCCAGUUCCCUGAUUUUUGAAAAAAAAUGUUGGCAACCCUGAUUGUGUAGGAUAUUCGGCAUCUAAUGAAUAAGUAUAAAAAUUUAAAAGUUAUAUGGCAUCGAACAAAAACGUUGACUAUAACCAUAAAAAAAACAUUUGUAGUAUUACAAUAGAUGAAAAAAGUUAGAUGAAAAUUCGUCCGACUUCAGAUGAAUUCGCUUGCGAAUUCCCCACUGAGAGUUCUCAAAAGUUGACGACCAAAAAAAAUUCUUUCGAAGUUGCGGUGCGUGAUGUUUUGCUGCAUCGGCAACAGUCGAAAAUUGCACCUGACAUGACUGGGUCGGGUGCAAUUUCCGGCAACAGCUACUGUGAUCGACUUCCAGUUCUUGUGGUCUCAACCGGCAGUGCGGUGCAUGAAAUUCAGCGCUCAAAGGGUGGUAGAAGGACGACGAUGAUAAUCCAAGUGUAGUGUGGGUUCUCCGGUAGUACAUUUGUGCUUAAGGUGGUCCUCAGUCGACAUGCGAUACGGGGUCAGAAAGGAGCCGCAGGAGGCGAAGGCCACGUGUACUGCGUGCGAAUUUCGGUGUCAACAACGAUCGCAGGAAGCGAAAGCCGCGUGUACUGCGCCCAGAAACAGGUGGCCAAGACGAUCACAGGAGGCGGAAGCCGCAAGUACUGCACAGCAAAAAAAAUUUGAUAUUACAUCAAAUACCUGCACAUAACUUUAGUCGCAAAUGUUACUUAAUAUUACAUCGUCUCGAUGUAUCCGAAAUCCGAAUCCGUGGUCCGAAAUCCUAAAAAUUAAAAAUAAAGUAAUUAUAAUGAAUGCUAUAGCUUUGCUUACUUUUUUAUUGAAUUUUGGUUGUACUUACAAGCCAAACAAAUACAGCUGAAGUCCGUAAUCUGUUUUUUACUUUUUGAAAUGAAUAAAAUUUGAACGUCAAUUGAAGAAAACAUUGACUACUUGAUGCGAUAUCACAUAGAAGGUUGUGAAAUUACACUACACGACGUAUUCGCAUUGUGUACAUCAGUUAGAUGUAUUAU